rnacentral:rRNA from 1 species
GACUCUAAAGUGUCCCCCAAACACAAAAGCUUGGUCCCAACUUUAUCGCCAGUUUUUCCUUAAUUUACACAUGCAAGUCUCCCCACCCCCGUGAGUAUCCCUUACCCCCGUCAGGGGAUUAACGGAAAUGGUAUAAGGCACAAACCUUCGCCCAAAACACCUAACAAAAGUCACACCCAUAAGGGCCACAGCAGUGAUUAAUAUUGGAUAUGAGCGCCAGCUUGAUUCAAUUAAAGCAAAAUAGGGCCGGCUAAGCUGGUGCCAGCCGCCGCGGUUACACCAGAGGCCCAAAUUGGCCAUCCCCACCGGCGUAAAGAGUGGUUAGAGUUACAACAAAUUAUUAUCAAAUUUGAACUAGGCGGUAACAUGCCUGUUCUCAAGAAGCUCCCAAACGAAAGUCAUUCUAAUUUAUAUAGUUCGAACCCACGAUAGCCAGAACACAAACUAGGAUUAGAUACCCUACUAUGUCUGGCCCUAAACCUUAAAUUACACCUCACC